UACGUAGGGCGCAAGCGUUGUCCGGAAUUAUUGGGCGUAAAGAGCUCGUAGGCGGCUUGUCACGUCGGAUGUGAAAGCCCGGGGCUUAACCCCGGGUCUGCAUUCGAUACGGGCUAGCUAGAGUGUGGUAGGGGAGAUCGGAAUUCCUGGUGUAGCGGUGAAAUGCGCAGAUAUCAGGAGGAACACCCGUAGCGAAGGCGGCACUCUGGGCCGAUACUGACACUGAGGAGCGAAAGCGUGGGGAGCGAACAGG
rnacentral:rRNA from 1 species